UACGUAGGGGGCAAGCGUUGUCCGGAAUCAUUGGGCGUAAAGAGCGCGUAGGCGGUCCAGUAAGUCCGCUCUGAAAGUCCGGGGCUCAACCCCGGGAGGCGGGCGGAUACUGCUGGGCUAGAGUCCGGAAGAGGCGAGUGGAAUUCCUGGUGUAGCGGUGAAAUGCGCAGAUAUCAGGAGGAACACCAAUGGCGAAGGCAGCUCGCUGGGACGGUACUGACGCUGGAGACGCGAAAGCGUGGGGAGCGAACAGGG
rnacentral:rRNA from 1 species